GCUAAUUCAAUCACAGACUUGAUCUCAUCAUAAAUGAGAAUAAGAGAACACUUCUCAACCUAGCACAUGCCCAACGAUAUUUCAUCGAAGAAGAUGAGAAACGUUUAGGGAAAGGAUGCACGUAACUCAGCCUACUCCUCGGUGUCUUUACCAUUGUCCUUUGGCAAAUCCUGAGCUGUAUCUUCUUCAUUGUUAUCAGGCUUGACAUCUUCAGCCUCUUUCGUUUCUUCGGAGGCAUCCUGAAGCUGUAGGUAGUUCCACAAACAAAAAUCAGAAUUUCUUUGCAAUUUAAAGUGAAACAACUGCUCUCUCCGUCCA
rnacentral:misc_RNA from 1 species